UUUUCCAACAUUUGGCAUAACCUCCAACAAAAUACAACCUAGCUUGUUCUCCAGCAACAAGAAAAGAUGAGGUCGUUCCACAAGAUGAUGCUACUAGCACUUGUCCUUGCUGCACUAUCCUCAGAUGUGUUGGUCAAGGUGACAGCGAAUGGUGGUGCCCCGAUAACCCGUGAAGACUGCAAGCAACUUCCGGUCGCUCCUGGGCCAUGCGAACCAAGGACUUGUCUACAUGACUGUCAAGCCAACAUAGGUCCCAAUGCGGUUGGUGAGUGUGUUUCAGGAGGAUGUCAGUGCACAUAUUGUACUACACAUGUACGGAAUUAGGCAGUAUCCGCUGUUCCAUUCUUUCUUGAAUUAAUAACAAUGACGAUAUUAUAUUCAUAA